rnacentral:rRNA from 1 species
CCCUUAGAUGUUCUGGGCCGCACGCGCGCUACACUGAUGCAUUCAACGAGCCUAUCCUUGACCGACAGGUCCGGGUAAUCUUUGAAUCUGCAUCGUGACGGGGAUAGAUUAUUGCAAUUAUUAAUCUUCAACGAGGAAUGCCUAGUAGGCGCAAGUCAUCAGCUUGCGUCGAUUACGUCCCUGCCCUUUGUACACACCGCCCGUCGCACCUACCGAUUGAAUGUUUCGGUGAAGAUUCCGGACCGUGGCGAGCGCGCUUCACGGCGCUCUUGCCGUGGGAAGUUAUCUAAACCUCAACAUUUAGAGGAAGGUGAAGUCGUAACA